CAGGGGAGUAUUCGGCUGAUGAUACCUGGGAAUUUGUAGAGCUGCAAGAACAGAUCACUAAAGGCUAUAUAAGUGUCUGGGCUCUUCAUAAGAAAGAUUUUAAUCAAUUGUGCCUAAAUUUAGGCCUACAAGCACUUCAGCCUUUUGACGCCGCUCGUGCUAGGAGUAGACCAUACAGAGGAUUUGUUUUUUUUUUUUUU